CUAUCUUGGACCCUGUGCAAGGAUGACACGCAAAUUCAUGAAGCGUUCCAUAUUUUU
rnacentral:snRNA from 1 species